rnacentral:rRNA from 1 species
UACGUAGGGGGCGAGCGUUAUCCGGAUUCACUGGGUGUAAAGGGAGCGUAGACGGCGACGCAAGUCUGGAGUGAAAGCCCGGGGCCCAACCCCGGGACUGCUCUGGAAACUGCGGCGCUGGAGUACGGGAGGGGCAGGCGGAAUUCCUGGUGUAGCGGUGAAAUGCGUAGAUAUCAGGAGGAACACCGGCGGCGAAGGCGGCCUGCUGGACCGUGACUGACGUUGAGGCUCGAGAGCGUGGGGAGCAAACAGG